UUAAAUUAUUAAGGGCGUAUGGUGGAUGCCUUGGCAUUAGAAGACGAUGAAGGACGCGACAAACAGCGAUAUUGCUUCGGGGAGUUGUAAGUAAACUACGAUCCGGAGAUCUCCGAAUGAGGAAACUCACCCAUUAGGGUAUCAUAAAGUGAAUACAUAGCUUUAUUGAAGUCAACCCCGUGAACUGAAACAUCUUAGUAACGGGAGGAAAAGAAAGAAAAAUCGAUUGCCUGAGUAGUGGCGAGCGAAACGGCAACAGCCCAAACCAGUCUUAGGACUGGGGUUGUAGGACACUAAUAUACGGAGUUACCAAGUUUUAUGAUAGCAGAACACUUUGGAAAGAGUGACCAUAGGAAGUGAUAGUCUUGUAUGCGAAAUCAUGAAACCUCUAUAGUGUAUCCUGAGUACGGCGGGACACGAGAAAUCUUGUCGGAAUCUGUGGGGACCAUCCCAUAAGGCUAAAUACUCUCUAAUGACCGAUAGUGAACAAGUACCGUGAGGGAAAGGUGAAAAGAACCCCGGGAGGGGAGUGAAAUAGAGAAUCUGAAACCAUAUGCUUACAAAAAGUUCGAGCCCAUUAACGGGUGAGAGCGUGCCUUUUGCAGAAUGAGCCGGCGAGUUAUGGUAUUGUGCAAGGUUAAGUGGAAAACACGGAGCCGAAGCGAAAGCGAGUCUUAAUAGGGCGAUUUAGUACAAUGCUGUAGACCCGAAACCGAGUGAUCUAGCCAUGAGCAGGUUGAAGUUGGGGUAAUACCCAAUGGAGGACCGAACCAGGGUACUAUGUAACGUGCUUGGAUGACUUGUGGCUAGCGGUGAAAUUCCAAUCGAACUCGGAUAUAGCUGGUUCUCCCCGAAAUAGGUUUAGGCCUAGCCUUGAAUUAUUUCAUCCUGGAGGUAGAGCACUGAAUGUGGAAUGGCCGCGUCUAGCGGUACUGACUGCAAUCAACCUCCGAAUGCCAGGAAUUGUAGAUUCAGGAGUCAGUGUAUGAGGUGAUAACGUCCAUACGCGAAAGGAAAACAAUCCAGACCAUCAACUAAGGUCCCUAAAUAUAUGUUAAGUGGGAAAGGAUGUGGAGACGCACGAACAGCUAGGAGGUUGGCUUAGAAGCAGCCAUCCUUUAAAGAGUGCGUAAUAGCUCACUAGUCGAGUAUCUCUGCGCCGAAAAUGUACCGGGGCUAAACAUAUUACCGAAGUUAUGGAUUUAUAAUUUAUUAUAAAUGGUAGGGGAGCGUUCUAAGGGCGCUGAAGGUAGAUCGCGAGGACUACUGGAGCGCUUAGAAGUGAGAAUGCCGGUGUGAGUAACGUAAGGUAGGUGAGAAUCCUACCCACUAUUUGACCAAGGUUUCCAGGGUCAAGUUCGUCUUCCCUGGGUUAGUCAGGACCUAAGGCGAGGCUGAAAAGCGUAGUCGAUGGACAACAGGUUUAUAUUCCUGUACUGCUUAUAAGACUGAUGGAGUGACGGAGAAAGCUAGGAAGGGCCAGUUAUUGGAUUCUGGUCUAAGCAAGUAGGCUGAUACAUAGGAAAAUCCGUGAUAUCGAUAAGGCUGAGAUGUGAUGGCGACGUGGUCUACGGACUACUAAGUCUUCUGAAGCUAUGCUUCCAAGAAAAACUUCUAAAGAUAUGUUAUAAGUACCUGUACCUAGAACCGACACAGGUGGUCAAGGAGAGAAUCCUAAGGUGAGCGAGAGAACUAUGGUUAAGGAACUCGGCAAAAUUACCCCGUAACUUCGGAAUAAGGGGAGGUUUCUUCGGAAACCCGCAGUGAAUAGGUCCAGGCAACUGUUUACCAAAAACACAGGUCUCUGCUAAAGCGUAAGCUGAUGUAUAGGGGCUGACGCCUGCCCAGUGCUGGAAGGUUAAGAUGAUUUGUUAGGUGGACGAAAGUCGAUAACACCGAAGCUUUGAUUUGAAGCCCCAGUGAACGGCGGCGAUAACUAUAAUCGUCCAAAGGUAGCGAAAUUCCUUGUCAGGUAAGUUCUGAC
rnacentral:rRNA from 1 species